UUAAAUUGCUGUGGUAUUUUGACUAUACAAAGGUAUUGAAAUAAGAUUUUAAUUGAAUGCUAAGAGAAUGGAAGUCCAGAAAAAAACUUUUUUUAAAUUAAAAAUUGAAGUUUUUUUAAUUUGUGCAGAAACAAUUAUUUAUAUUAAAGACAAGAAGACCCUAUGAAUUUAUUAAAUUUUUAUUUAAUAUGUAAUUACUAUUAGAAAAAUUUUGGCUGGGGCGGCUAGAAAAUAUUAUGAACUUUUUAAAAAUAAAAUGAUCCAUUAUUAAUGAUUUUAUGUUAAAUACUCUAGGGAUAACAGCGU
rnacentral:rRNA from 1 species